AGUGAACGCUGGCGGUAGGCCUAACACAUGCAAGUCGAACGGCAGCACAGUAAGAGCUUGCUCUUACGGGUGGCGAGUGGCGGACGGGUGAGGAAUACAUUGGAAUCUACUUUUUCGUGGGGGAUAACGUAGGGAAACUUACGCUAAUACCGCAUACGACCUACGGGUGAAAGCAGGGGAUCUUCGGACCUUGCGCGAUUGAAUGAGCCGAUGUCGGAUUAGCUAGUUGGCGGGGUAAAGGCCCACCAAGGCGACGAUCCGUAGCUGGUCUGAGAGGAUGAUCAGCCACACUGGAACUGAGACACGGUCCAGACUCCUACGGGAGGCAGCAGUGGGGAAUAUUGGACAAUGGGCGCAAGCCUGAUCCAGCCAUACCGCGUGGGUGAAGAAGGCCUUCGGGUUGUAAAGCCCUUUUGUUGGGAAAGAAAAGCAGCAGGUUAAUACCCCGCUGUUCUGACGGUACCCAAAGAAUAAGCAUCGGCUAACUUCGUG
rnacentral:rRNA from 1 species